rnacentral:lncRNA from 1 species
AGUUUAUAUUCUGACAAUGAAAUCAAAGGUUAAGAAGCACGCUUGGGUCAAGUGCUGCCCUCGCACCUGCGGGACCAGGCUCUGGGCUGAGAGCCGCAGGCUGGGCCACCUCUGCGCCGGCCUCCACCGGAGCUGCCAAAUCAGGACCCAGACGCAAGGGUCCUAUUUCAUGAAAUUUUUCCUGUCUCUUUCUCUCCUGUUUUGUGCUCUCCUCUCUAGAACAAAUCCUAAUCUUGGCUUGUCUUUAGGACAACAAAUGAUUUAAUUUGGUUAAGAUAAAACAGAGAAGGGAGAUAACCUAGUACCUACUACUGACGAGCAAAUAACUUAUUGCAAAAGCAAACGGUGCAAAAAAGUAUCCUGCGGACAGAGGG